UACGUAGGGUGCAAGCGUUGUCCGGAAUUAUUGGGCGUAAAGAGCUUGUAGGCGGUUUGUCGCGUCUGCUGUGAAAUUUCGGGGCUCAACCCCGAACUUGCAGUGGGUACGGGCAGACUAGAGUGUGGUAGGGGAGACUGGAAUUCCUGGUGUAGCGGUGAAAUGCGCAGAUAUCUGGAGGAAUACCGGUGGCGAAGGCGGCAUCCUGGACCGAGAUUGACACUGAUGAGCGAAAGCUAGGGGAGCAAACGGG
rnacentral:rRNA from 1 species